rnacentral:lncRNA from 1 species
UGUUUUUUUUUUACUCUAGAUACAUUGCAACAUCUCCUAUCAGAUGCUUUGCAGCCAGAUGUAAAGCAGUAUUAUGUGCAACAACAGCCCGCUAGCCCUCCCUGACGUCCAGCAAUGACUAAGCCCUAACCUUUGCCCCUCCCCCUUGGGGUUAGCCUUCUGUUAUUUCUGUUUGUUCCUUGGUCUGGUGCAUGGCUUCCUGCUUCCCUGGAGUCCACACCUCGUGAACGAAACAAGCAGUGCGUGAGGGGGUCUAAUGCUCAAAGACAUGAGGAAUUGGAUUGAGUAAUGAAGCAGAUCUUUGCGGAAAGCACUGAGCCUCUCUUAGGUUCCUCUGGAAGGUUCUGUAAACUCCAUGAUACCAAUCUGGCUGAGUGUCUGCACUCGUGAGGAUUUACAGCUUCCGUUUCAGGUCAGUAUGCCAUAAACUCACCAAAACGUCACUCUUGCUGAUGAUGUUUUUAAUUCCCUUACCGUUAACCAGCUUAGUGUGAAACGCACAGGAGACCCUGACUUAAGAGUCCUCAGGGGAUUCCAUCUCUCUACAUACAGCUUGUGACUAGCACACCCCAGAAGAGAAAUCCUCCUGAAUCAACUUGCUGACUCUGGACACCAUUUCAAGGAGCCUUGCAUUUCCCAGCACUGCCAUUGCAUCUCACUAGAGCACCAAGCUGUUCUCCUUCUCUGCCUGGGCUUUUCUCCGCGAUUCAAAGACCUCAGGAGCGAUCCUCAACCAACGAGGGGGCAGUUUGUGGAUCAAUAUCCCAACUUCCUUGAGCUUCCCUGGGAAGGUUCAGAAGCUCACACUCCUCCUUUACUGGAAGAUUCCUGCAAGGAUGGAGCUGCAGGUGCCUGUCUGGAGUGGUGAGCCACUUAGUAUUGGCUUUCCUCCCUUCCUCUCUUAUUAUCUGCCUCCUUCAAGCUUGCUUUCUGGGAUCCAUUUCUGAAUGACUCGCUAAACCCAGCCUCAUCUCUGGGUCUGCUUGGGAGAACCCAAGCAAAAACAGUCCUCUGAAAACUUAUCUAAGAAGGAAUAUGGGGAAGGGGGACCAAUAUUUCACAACUGGCCACUAACGUGCUGCUGUGAGUCAUGCGCCCCACGUGGAAAAUACCAGUUUGCGUCACUAACAUAAAGACCCUCUGGAACUGCUUUUCCUUCUGAGCCAUCUUGAC